CAAACAUGUUUGGAAGGUUCAAAUCUAACGGGGUGCAGUCAGAAAGUGAUUGAAUUCAUACGACCCGUCAAUGAUUUAUUCGUUUGUGGGCACAUUUCGAUGACAGCGCCGCGGUUGUUAUGGAAAAGCGUUUCCCCCGAGAGCUGGUGUUGGGACAGAAAGCAGCUGAUCGGUUUCAGUCGGGCUGAGAACACAGAUACGAGCUCGUGCUGCUGUCAGACUGAAUUAACUCCACAGGUAUCCUGGCGGGUAGGAGCGUUGGGCCAGUAACCGAAAGG